rnacentral:rRNA from 1 species
ACAGGGAUUGCCUUAGUAACGGCGAGUGAAGCGGCAACAGCUCAAAUUUGAAAUCUGGCUCUUUUAGGGUCCGAGUUGUAAUUUGCAGAGGGCGCUUUGGCUUUGGCAGCGGUCCAAGUUCCUUGGAACAGGACGUCACAGAGGGUGAGAAUCCCGUACGUGGUCGCUAGCUAUUGCCGUGUAAAGCCCCUUCGACGAGUCGAGUUGUUUGGGAAUGCAGCUCUAAAUGGGAGGUAAAUUUCUUCUAAAGCUAAAUAUUGGCCAGAGACCGAUAGCGCACAAGUAGAGUGAUCGAAAGAUGAAAAGCACUUUGGAAAGAGAGUCAAACAGCACGUGAAAUUGUUGAAAGGGAAGCGCUUGCAGCCAGACUUGCUUGCAGUUGCUCAUCCGGGCUUUUGCCCGGUGCACUCUUCUGCAGGCAGGCCAGCAUCAGUUUGGGCGGUGGGAUAAAGGUCUCUGACACGUUCCUUCCUUCGGGUUGGCCAUAUAGGGGAGACGUCAUACCACCAGCCUGGACUGAGGUCCGCGCAUCUGCUAGGAUGCUGGCGUAAUGGCUGUAAGCGGCCCGUCUUGAAACACGGACCAAGGAGUCUAACAUCUAUGCGAGUGUUUGGGUGUCAAGCCCGAGCGCGUAAUGAAAGUGAACGGAGGUGGGAACCCGCAAGGGUGCACCAUCGACCGAUCCUGAAGUUUACGGAAGGAUUUGAGUAAGAGCAUGGCUGUUGGGACCCGAAAGAUGGUGAACUAUGCUUGAAUAGGGUGAAGCCAGAGGAAACUCUGGUGGAGGCUCGCAGCGGUUCUGACGUGCAAAUCGAUCGUCAAAUUUGGGCAUAGGGGCGAAAGACUAAUCGA